AUUGAACGCUGGCGGCAUGCCUUACACAUGCAAGUCGAACGGUAACAGGUCUUCGGAUGCUGACGAGUGGCGAACGGGUGAGUAAUGCAUCGGAACGUGCCCAGUAGUGGGGGAUAGCCCGGCGAAAGCCGGAUUAAUACCGCAUACGACCUGAGGGUGAAAGGGGGGGAUCGCAAGACCUCUCGCUAUUGGAGCGGCCGAUGUCAGAUUAGCUAGUUGGUGGGGUAAAGGCCUACCAAGGCAACGAUCUGUAGUUGGUCGGAGAGGACGACCAGCAACACUGGGACUGAGAGACGGACCAGACUCCUACGGGAGGCAGCAGUGGGGAAUUUUGGACAAUGGGCGCAAGCCUGAUCCAGCAAUGACGCGUGCAGGAAGAAGGCCUUCGGGUUGUAAACUGCUUUCGGCAGGAACGAAACGGCGAGCUCUAACAUAGCUUGCUAAUGACGGUACCUGAAGAAGAAGCACCGGCUAACUACGUGCCAGCCGCCGCAGUAACAC
rnacentral:rRNA from 1 species